UGGAGCCAUAGCUUGCUACAGGAAGGUUUCCCAGCCUGGGCUGCAGAUAGGGUUGUAGAGCAUGCCAUAAUCCUUCUUAUAAGACACAGUUAGAGCUAGUUUCUUAUAUGGAGAUGAAGAAGAAUGACUUGGGAGUGCCUGUAGAGGGUGUAAUUUUACCCAUCCCUUGAAUAAUAUAUCAGAGAGCAGAGGUGAACCUCCUCUUCUAGCAGCAGCACUGUUUUAGGUGCCAUCAAUGACAUCCUUGUCAGCCAGAUAUGUGUACUGACUGCUACACUUCCUAAAAUGCUGUUGACUUUGCUGAUGGUUCAAAGUGUGGGGAAGUUUCAUAGGCUUCAGAUCUGGAUGCUUAUCAAAGCCUGCCUGCUCUCCUGCAGUACAAGAAGACCUGUACGUGAUCUUCUGCUCCUCCCGUGCCCUGCCACAUUAAACCAUUUAUGUAGAAAGUAAGCAGUCUGGGUUUGUCCUUACGACUUCACUGGAAUCAGUUGCUUAUUCCUGUCAUAGUUCUGCCAGCAAGUGCUUCAACAAAAGAAACAACAAAGUACCCACUGCAGUUGCUACAUUUUACUGCCAAGUUGUAAAAGAAAUCACAUUCUCAUUUUAGGUAAAUGGUCAGAUAUAUGAAUGCUGAAAGCUCUCUACUGUCAUCCUGCGAUGUGCCGCAGCACCCAGAGGGAGGAGUGAGCCUGGAGACCACCUCUUUCACAGCAGUGAGCUCCUGGUGCCACAGCGAUGGCUGUAUGUACAAAAGCUGUUGGUAUGGUGCUGUCUCUGACCAGAACAGCAAGCCAUGCCCAGCUGGGGGAGAGAAGCACAUCUUUGAACCAACCUUCUCUUUCUUUCUCCCAGCACUGACUUCCAUGGGCUGCAAAGAGAAGCAUUUCUCCCUCACUUCACCAGUGCUGUGUGAAAUGCCCUCUAAAUGCUAAUUUCAUUUCACUUCUACAACAGUAGAAAUAAAUACAGCACAAAUCUUCCUUCUCUGCAGUGCUUUUUUUCUUGACUGCUGUAUCUAAAUGUCCCUUCAAUCUAGUAUCUCUUAAUAGUUCAGUAAAGAAUUACUCAUGGGACUAUCCUUUUUUUUUUUUUUUUUUGCCUUGAAGGCAGUCCCUAUUACUCCACAGUAUGGAAACCAACUGGGAAAGUAAUCUAUGCAAAUUACAUGUACUUUUCGGGUUGAAUCGCAUUCCCUUCGCUCAUGGUAAUGAGUCACUUGGCAUGAAGUGGACUUACAGUGAAUGGAGAGAGCAUAUAAGGGCGCUGCUUCUCAAGAAUUACUUCUACUUGCUGAAUCUCAUUUAGGCCUGGAACCAUGAGGGGUGAGGCUCUGCU
ensembl:lncRNA